rnacentral:rRNA from 1 species
GGCAGCGGGGAGUAGCUUGCUACUCUGCCGGCGAGCGGCGGACGGGUGAGUAAAGUCUGGGGAUCUGGCUUAUGGAGGGGGAUAACCAUUGGAAACGGUGGCUAAUACCGCAUGAUGUCGCAAGACCAAAGUGGGGGACUUUAGGGCCUCACGCCAUAAGAUGAACCCAGAUGAGAUUAGCUAGUAGGUGCGGUAAUGGCGUACCUAGGCGACGAUCUCUAGCUGGUCUGAGAGGAUGACCAGCCACACUGGAACUGAGAAACGGUCCAGACUCCUACGGGAGGCAGCAGUGGGGAAUAUUGCACAAUGGGCGGAAGCCUGAUGCAGCCAUGCCGCGUGUGUGAAGAAGGCCUUAGGGUUGUAAAGCACUUUCAGCGGGGAGGAAGGAGGUAAGAGUAAUAUGCUUAUCGAUUGACGUUACCCGCAAAAGAAGCACCGGCUAACUCCGUGCCAGCAGCCGCGGUAAUACGGAGGGUGCGAGCGUUAAUCGGAAUAACUGGGCGUAAAGGGCAUGUAGGCGGUAAGUUAAGUCAGAUGUGAAAUCCCCGAGCUUAACUUGGGAACGGCAUUUGAGACUGGCUGGCUAGAGUUUUGUAGAGGGGGGUAGAAUUCCAGGUGUAGCGGUGAAAUGCGUAGAGAUCUGGAGGAAUACCGGUGGCGAAGGCGGCUCCCUGGAC